GAUGAACGCUGGCGGCGUGCCUAAUACAUGCAAGUCGAGCGAACAGACGAGGAGCUUGCUCCUUCGACGUUAGCGGCGGACGGGUGAGUAACACGUAGGUAACCUACCUAUAAGACUGGGAUAACUUCGGGAAACCGGAGCUAAUACCGGAUAAUAUUUCGAACCGCAUGGUUCGAUAGUGAAAGAUGGCUUUGCUAUCACUUAUAGAUGGACCUGCGCCGUAUUAGCUAGUUGGUAAGGUAACGGCUUACCAAGGCAACGAUACGUAGCCGACCUGAGAGGGUGAUCGGCCACACUGGAACUGAGACACGGUCCAGACUCCUACGGGAGGCAGCAGUAGGGAAUCUUCCGCAAUGGGCGAAAGCCUGAUGGAGCAACGCCGCGUGAGUGAUGAAGGUCUUCGGAUCGUAAAACUCUGUUAUUAGGGAAGAACAAACGUGUAAGUAACUGUGCACGUCUUGACGGUACCUAAUCAGAAAGCCACGGCUAACUACGUG
rnacentral:rRNA from 1 species